GAUUAACGCUGGCGGCGUGCAUAACACAUGCAAGUCGAACGAUGAAACUUUUUUGAUUUCUUCGGAAUGAAAAAAAGUGGAUUAGUGGCGGACGGGUGAGUAACGCGUGAGUAACCUGCCUUAGAGAAGGGGAUAGCCUUUGGAAACGAAGAAUAAUACCCUAUGAAACCAUAACCUCGCAUGAGGCCUUGGUCAAAGAUUUAUCGCUCUAAGAUGGACUUGCGUCUGAUUAGUUAGUUGGUGGGGUAACGGCCCACCAAGACAGCGAUCAGUAGCCGGCUUGAGAGAGUGUACGGCCACAUUGGGACUGAGACACGGCCCAGACUCCUACGGGAGGCAGCAGUGGGGAAUUUUGCACAAUGGGGGGAACCCUGAUGCAGCGACGCCGCGUGAUUUAGAAGGCCUUCGGGUUGUAAAAAUCUUUUCUAUGGGAAGAAAAUGACAGUACCAUAGGAAUAAGGACCGGCUAAUUACGUGCCAGCAGCCGCGGUAAUACGUAAGGUCCGAGCGUUGUCCGGAAUCAUUGGGCGUAAAGGGUACGUAGCGGGUAAGCAAGUUAGAAGUGAGAUCCUAUAGCUCAACUAUAGUAAGCUUUUAAAACUGCUCAUCUUGAGGUAUGGAAGGGAAAGUGGAAUUCCUAUGGUUGCGGUGAAAUGCGCAUAUAUAGGAGGAAUACCGGGUGGCGAAGGCGACGUUCUGGGCAUAACCUGACGCUGAGGUACGAAAGCGUGGUAGCAUACAGG
rnacentral:rRNA from 1 species